UUGACCUCGGAUCGGGUAGGGAUACCCGCUGAACUUAAGCAUAUCAA
rnacentral:rRNA from 1 species